GCGCCGCCGCGGGCUGCGGCUCGUCCGGCUCGUCCUCCAGCGGCGAACUCGCCCCCAACGGCCGGUUCGACACCGGCGGCACCGCCCC
rnacentral:tRNA from 1 species